rnacentral:rRNA from 1 species
GGGUUGUGAGGUUAAGCGACUAAGCGUACACGGUGGAUGCCCUGGCAGUCAGAGGCGAUGAAGGACGUGCUAAUCUGCGAUAAGCGUCGGUAAGGUGAUAUGAACCGUUAUAACCGACGAUUUCCGAAUGGGGAAACCCAGUGCAAUUCGUUGCACUAUCGUUAAGUGAAUACAUAGCUUAACGAAGCGAACCGGGGGAACUGAAACAUCUAAGUACCCCGAGGAAAAGAAAUCAACCGAGAUUCCCCCAGUAGCGGCGAGCGAACGGGGAGGAGCCCAGAGUCUGAAUCAGUUUGUGUGUUAGUGGAAGCGUCUGGAAAGUCGCAGGGUACAGGGUGAUACUCCCGUACACAAAAACACACAGGCUGUGAACUCGAAGAGUAGGGCGGGACACGUGGUAUCCUGUCUGAAUAUGGGGGGACCAUCCUCCAAGGCUAAAUACUCCUGACUGACCGAUAGUGAACCAGUACCGUGAGGGAAAGGCGAAAAGAACCCCGGCGAGGGGAGUGAAACAGAACCUGAAACCGUGUACGUACAAGCAGUAGGAGCCCACUUGUUGGGUGACUGCGUACCUUUUGUAUAAUGGGUCAGCGACUUAUAUUCUGUAGCAAGGUUAACCGAAUAGGGGAGCCGCAGGGAAACCGAGUCUUAACUGGGCGUUAAGUUGCAGGGUAUAGACCCGAAACCCGGUGAUCUAGCCAUGGGCAGGUUGAAGGUUGGGUAACACUAACUGGAGGACCGAACCGACUAAUGUUGAAAAAUUAGCGGAUGACUUGUGGCUGGGGGUGAAAGGCCAAUCAAACCGGGAGAUAGCUGGUUCUCCCCGAAAGCUAUUUAGGUAGCGCCUCGUGAAUUCAUCUUCGGGGGUAGAGCACUGUUUCGGCUAGGGGGUCAUCCCGACUUACCAACCCGAUGCAAACUACGAAUACCGAAGAAUGUUAUCACGGGAGACACACGGCGGGUGCUAACGUCCGUCGUGAAGAGGGAAACAACCCAGACCGCCAGCUAAGGUCCCAAAGUCAUGGUUAAGUGGGAAACGAUGUGGGAAGGCACAGACAGCCAGGAUGUUGGCUUAGAAGCAGCCAUCAUUUAAAGAAAGCGUAAUAGCUCACUGGUCGAGUCGGCCUGCGCGGAAGAUGUAACGGGGCUAAACCAUGCACCGAAGCUGCGGCAGCGACACUAUGUGUUGUUGGGUAGGGGAGCGUUCUGUAAGCCGUUGAAGGUGGCCUGUGAGGGUUGCUGGAGGUAUCAGAAGUGCGAAUGCUGACAUAAGUAACGAUAAAGCGGGUGAAAAGCCCGCUCGCCGGAAGACCAAGGGUUCCUGUCCAACGUUAAUCGGGGCAGGGUGAGUCGACCCCUAAGGCGAGGCCGAAAGGCGUAGUCGAUGGGAAACAGGUUAAUAUUCCUGUACUCGGUGUUACUGCGAAGGGGGGACGGAGAAGGCUAUGUUAGCCGGGCGACGGUUGUCCCGGUUUAAGCAUGUAGGCGGGCGUUUUAGGUAAAUCCGGAACGUCAUUUAACGCUGAGGUGUGAUGACGAGGCACUACGGUGCUGAAGUAACAAAUGCCCUGCUUCCAGGAAAAGCCUCUAAGCAUCAGGUAACAUCAAAUCGUACCCCAAACCGACACAGGUGGUCAGGUAGAGAAUACCAAGGCGCUUGAGAGAACUCGGGUGAAGGAACUAGGCAAAAUGGUGCCGUAACUUCGGGAGAAGGCACGCUGAUGGUAAGUGAAGUGACUUGCUCAUGGAGCUGAAAUCAGUCGAAGAUACCAGCUGGCUGCAACUGUUUAUUAAAAACACAGCACUGUGCAAACACGAAAGUGGACGUAUACGGUGUGACGCCUGCCCGGUGCCGGAAGGUUAAUUGAUGGGGUUAUCCUCGCGGAGAAGCUCUUGAUCGAAGCCCCGGUAAACGGCGGCCGUAACUAUAACGGUCCUAAGGUAGCGAAAUUCCUUGUCGGGUAAGUUCCGACCUGCACGAAUGGCGUAAUGAUGGCCAGGCUGUCUCCACCCGAGACUCAGUGAAAUUGAACUCGCUGUGAAGAUGCAGUGUACCCGCGGCAAGACGGAAAGACCCCGUGAACCUUUACUAUAGCUUGACACUGAACACUGGUCCUUGAUGUGUAGGAUAGGUGGGAGGCUUUGAAGUGUGGACGCCAGUCUGCAUGGAGCCAUCCUUGAAAUACCACCCUUUAAUGGCUGGUGUUCUAACGUGGACCCGUGAUCCGGGUUGCGGACAGUGUCUGGUGGGUAGUUUGACUGGGGCGGUCUCCUCCUAAAGAGUAACGGAGGAGCACGAAGGUUAGCUAAUCCUGGUCGGACAUCAGGAGGUUAGUGCAAUGGCAUAAGCUAGCUUGACUGCGAGCGUGACGGCGCGAGCAGGUGCGAAAGCAGGUCAUAGUGAUCCGGUGGUUCUGAAUGGAAGGGCCAUCGCUCAACGGAUAAAAGGUACUCCGGGGAUAACAGGCUGAUACCGCCCAAGAGUUCAUAUCGACGGCGGUGUUUGGCACCUCGAUGUCGGCUCAUCACAUCCUGGGGCUGAAGUAGGUCCCAAGGGUAUGGCUGUUCGCCAUUUAAAGUGGUACGCGAGCUGGGUUUAGAACGUCGUGAGACAGUUCGGUCCCUAUCUGCCGUGGGCGCUGGAGAAUUGAGGGGGGCUGCUCCUAGUACGAGAGGACCGGAGUGGACGCAUCACUGGUGUUCGGGUUGUCAUGCCAAUGGCAUUGCCCGGUAGCUAAAUGCGGAAGAGAUAAGUGCUGAAAGCAUCUAAGCACGAAACUUGCCCCGAGAUGAGUUCUCCCUGACCCUUUAAGGGUCCUGAAGGAACGUUAAAGACGAUGACGUUGAUAGGCCGGGUGUGUAAGCGCAGCGAUGCGUUGAGCUAACCGGUACUAAUGAACCGUGAGGCUUAACCUUACAACGCCGAAG